rnacentral:rRNA from 1 species
AGUCGAGCGAGCUUGCCUAGAUGAAUUUGGUGCUUGCACCAGAUGAAACUAGAUACAAGCGAGCGGCGGACGGGUGAGUAACACGUGGGUAACCUGCCCAAGAGACUGGGAUAACACCUGGAAACAGAUGCUAAUACCGGAUAACAACACUAGACGCAUGUCUAGAGUUUAAAAGAUGGUUCUGCUAUCACUCUUGGAUGGACCUGCGGUGCAUUAGCUAGUUGGUAAGGUAACGGCUUACCAAGGCAAUGAUGCAUAGCCGAGUUGAGAGACUGAUCGGCCACAUUGGGACUGAGACACGGCCCAAACUCCUACGGGAGGCAGCAGUAGGGAAUCUUCCACAAUGGACGCAAGUCUGAUGGAGCAACGCCGCGUGAGUGAAGAAGGGUUUCGGCUCGUAAAGCUCUGUUGGUAGUGAAGAAAGAUAGAGGUAGUAACUGGCCUUUAUUUGACGGUAAUUACUUAGAAAGUCACGGCUAACUACGUGCCAGCAGCCGCGGUAAUACGUAGGUGGCAAGCGUUGUCCGGAUUUAUUGGGCGUAAAGCGAGUGCAGGCGGUUCAAUAAGUCUGAUGUGAAAGCCUUCGGCUCAACCGGAGAAUUGCAUCAGAAACUGUUGAACUUGAGUGCAGAAGAGGAGAGUGGAACUCCAUGUGUAGCGGUGGAAUGCGUAGAUAUAUGGAAGAACACCAGUGGCGAAGG